rnacentral:lncRNA from 1 species
CCAAGUAUAGCAUGCUUUUGGGUCCUAGACUACACGGGCAAUAGAAUAAUAGUAGCUACACACGAACUCUCGUCACCUCGUGCGUACGUAGCUCCCACAAUUAGGAGCACUUAACCAAUUAACUCACCUAUGGGGAUAAUUCCCUCUUACAAGGUUAGAAAGGAGACUCACCUCGAUUCGAAGAUCCAUAACCGGCAUUCCAUACCCUUCCGAAGACUCGAAUCGAUGAACAACGCUCUAAAACUAGCCAAUAAAUUUGAAAAUCCAUUAAUAUAUGAUAAGGUACUCAUUAUAAUUCAAUUUAUAUUAAUUCCUAACCCCAAUCAAAAAGUUGACAAAAACGCCCUCCGGCCCAUGUGCCCGGAAUCCAAAUUUUUUCGACGAUAAAGUUUACCCAUGAAGUUAUGAACUCAAAAUAUAUGAUUUUCUCUUAGUUCCAUACCCAAAAAUUAUGGUAAAAAUUCAAGCAUACAAAUUUUCUAGGUUUUCCCUCAAACCCCAAAUUUUCUACCUAUUUCUAUGUCUAAAUCCAUAUAUAAACCUUGUAUAUACCCAAAAUCUAGUAAAAAGUACUUACCUCAUGCUUGGUGAUGAAAAUGGCACUCCAAAGUUGCUCCAAAAAUCGGCUCCCAUGGAAGAAAUGAAGUGAAAAUGAGCCAAAACCUGAUUUUAAAAGAACACUGCCCAGACGCCCCGUCUAUGCGAUUGCAAACAAUGCUCCGCGAUCGCAUAGGCCAACUAUGAUGCCUCCCAAAAUCCUUAUGUACAAUCACAUGCAAGCUCCCGUGUUCGCACGGGCCAAACGCAUCCCAGCCUCCAAACGUGUGCGAUCGCAACACCAACCUUGUGAUCGCAUAAACAGCUUUUCCUCCUCUGCGAUCGCAUUGCACUUCCUGCGAUCGAAUAGGCCAAAAUCCAGCUCCUCAACUCUUGAUCUAUGUGAUCUCAGACCCUCUCACGCGAUCGCAUAGAGUAAAAACCUGCUGCACUUAUACCAGAAAACCAGCAAUCCUUACAAGGCGAAAAUCGAUCCAUUAAGCAUUUGAAACGCGCCCGAGGCCCCUGGGACCUCAAUCAAACCUACCAACCAAUCCCAAAACACAUUUCGGACUUGCUCGAGGCCUCAAAUCAUAUCAAACAAUGCUAAAAUCACAAAUCACGCUUCAUUUCAAACUUGAAGAACUUAUAAUUUCAAACUUUUACAUUCGAUGCCGAAACCCGUCAAAUCACGUCUGAUUGACUUCAAAUUUUGCACGCAAGUCAUAUUCUAUAUUGCGGACCUACUCCAACUUCUAGAAUCGGUUCCGGCCUCGAUAUCAAAAUGUCCACUUCUGGUCAAACUUCUCCAAAAACCUUCAAUUUUCUAUCUUUAGCCAAAUGGCUCCAAAAUGACCUACUUUUAACAAAUAAUAAAGGAUUUUUAAGAUUUACUUUACAUUAUCUUUAGCAAUUUAUAUCAGGCCAUAAAAGGCAAUAUCAACAUUUAAAAACGAAUUCACUUCGGAUCGCGCUCCCAACUCCAGAAUAACCAUACGGAGUUACUCCCAGACUCGGAAUCCUAAGCGAACAUUAAUAUCACUGAGAUGCACUUCAACCCAAACUUAUAAAAUUUCUUCCAAAAUGCUAACUUCCACAAUAGGCGCCAAAACGCUCUCGAGUCAUUCAAAACCCAAUCCCAGGAUACGCACGUCUGAAAUCAUCAGACGAACCUGCUAGAGCCUUCAGAUCUCAAUUGCGAGAUCAUUUACUCAAACAUCCAAUCUUAGUCAAUUCUUUCAACUUAAAGCUUUCGAAAUGAGAAUUCUCUUUCCAGAUCAAUUCUGAACUUCCCGAAAUUCAAUUCCGACCAUGCGCACAAGUCAUAAUACCUGAAAUGAGACUUCUCAUAGCCUCAUACUGCUGAACGAUGUGCUAGAUCUCAAAAACACCGGUCGGAUCGUUACAAUUAGUUUAUGAAUGGUAAAAGAUAAAUAAUGAAGUAGGGUACAUAUUUGGUUUACGUUUUACUAUUUUUGGACUAUUUGGAGUAUAAUACUCUAAAUAUUGUUCAUAGUUAGUAAAACUUUGUCCUUUGGAUGGAUUUUUGACAAAAAAAUCUGUCCUUUGAAUAGUUUGAGUAUAUUUUUGGUGAAAAAUCUACCCUUUGGACAAAUUGGUAAUGAUAACUCAAGGUUUUCCCUCUCCUAUAAAGAGAGGGUCUUUAUUUCAUUGGGGNNNNNNNNNNNNNNNNNNNNNNNNNNNNNNNNNNNNNNNNNNNNNNNNNNNNNNNNNNNNNUUUUUUUUGUGGGGGGGGGGGGGGGGGAAGAUCAGUAGGAAAAAAAGACAAAAAAAGGGGGAAAUUUUAGCACUUUAUUUUUCUCUUAAAAAUAAUUUAGUAAGAGUUUUUAGGUUCUCCUUUUGGAUUUUCUUUAAACCUUUUCUCUUAAGGAGUUUCUGGGUUCAAGUAUUUUGAGUUUUCUGUUGUUUAUUGUGCGUUGGCCGCUUGUUGUUGAUUUAGUCUGCAGCUUUAGGUAACGCUUUUGCGCCUUAUAAUGUACUUUCAGUUGCAAAUGAAUGAAAUGGGGAGCUUAUAGUAAGAGUGCACUGUGGCCCGGGCUUGAAUUGGGCCCGCAGUCCUGGCAGGCCUAACGGGCCUGGUGGUCCUGGGCCUGGUGUUACCUUUAGGCUCGUGACGGGCCUGUCCAAG